UUUUAGGCGGAGAAUUCUCUGUAGGCGACUUUUGAAUUAUUAAAGUGGUCUUGCAGUUUGUUUACACAAGUCUCUAAGGAUCAAUAAGCAUUGUCCAUCUGCAGGUUUGAAGAUGUUGCAUCAUUGGGAUCGGGAAUAGAGAGCUUGUAUUUAGUUUUGAUUUGCUAAGUUGACUUGGGUUUGUUUAAAUGGACUUUAAACUUGUCAUACUAUUUAUAUUUCCUUAUUUUCGUUGGUUGAUUUUUGAGACUAAACCUGUAAUCGAUUAUUUAUAAACCUAAAGUUAGUUUUAUGUUUUC